ensembl:misc_RNA Metazoa_SRP Metazoan signal recognition particle RNA
GCCAGGCAUGGUGGCUCAUGCCUGUAAUCCCAGCACUUUGGGAGGCUGAGGGGGGAGAAUCGCUUGAGCCCAGGAGUUCGAGACCAGCCUGGGCAACAUAGUGAGAUUCCAUCUCUA